CUAGGGUUGGGUUGCCUACUAAGGGACCGGCUCAGGAGAUUUUGAACGCCCUCACUAAUGGAAGUUUUUUUUUUAAACCCAUGGGGAGGGGGGCUCCCCAUCUGAGGGCUUCUUUGAUUCAAAGGAUUCGCAAAGGAAUUUUGGAGGACUCUAAUCCUUAGGAAUUUUUCCCAUCUUGGUUGUUUGAUUCGUAGGAUUGUAAAUCAUAGGAUUUUUUUUCCAUAGGAUUCAUUUGCACUAGAUUUCAUAGGAAACAUCCCAUCCACUCAAAUCUUUUUGAAAGAAUCCUGCGUUUUUUCUAUGCACAAUCAAACACUUGUACAAUCCUGUAGGAUUCAAGACGACAUUCCACUCUAAUCUCAUGUUUUUCCUAUUCCCGCGUUUUGGAAAUCCUACGAAUCAAAGAGACCCCGAAUAUUAUUUCUCAAUCUUGCAAUCCAUCGUUUGACUGGUUGUUCCACCAUGGACAUCAAGAAUUCAAGAUAAGCUAAAAAAAAGAUGCCCACAUAGGGAUGCGGACGUUUGGUCUAUGGGUAUAUCUACACCCUAUAUGGAGAAAUAGUAAUUAAAUAAAAAUUCAAAAAAUAGAAAAUGUUUUUGAAAUAAAAUUGAUCUUUCAUUGUACCUGUGAAAAAAUUCCAUNNNNNNNNNNNNNNNNNNNNNNNNNNNNNNNNNNNNNNNNNNNNNNNNNNNNNNNNNNNNNNNNNNNNNNNNNNNNNNNNNNNNNNNNNNNNNNNNNNNNNNNNNNNNNNNNNNNNNNNNNNNNNNNNNNNNNNNNNNNNNNNNNNNNNNNNNNNNNNNNNNNNNNNNNNNNNNNNNNNNNNNNNNNNNNNNNNNNNNNNNNNNNNNNNNNNNNNNNNNNNNNNNNNNNNNNNNNNNNNNNNNNNNNNNNNNNNNNNNNNNNNNNNNNNNNNNNNNNNNNNNNNNNNNNNNNNNNNNNNNNNNNNNNNNNNNNNNNNNNNNNNNNNNNNNNNNNNNNNNNNNNNGAGAUCAUACAUAUGUCAGGGGAAGUGGCAACGGUACACUUACAAUGUAUUAGGACAUAAUUAGAUCAUACUUGAAACUCUUUUCAAAUGUAUUUUCCAAUUCUUAUUAAAGGAGGCAUAUGUAACUUGGAUCAUGAUUCAUGACACGUCCUUUUCCGGACGGUGUUGCUCUUGGGGGCAGACACAAGGGCAAUUGAGGGGCCUAUUGUUGCUGCCAAGAACUGUUUCAAAAUCCACUUUAUGGCACUACAUAUGACAUAUCUAUUGUUUUGGAGCAGGAACUGCUGCUGAUACCGAGGGUGUAAAAGAUAGGACAAGCUUAUCCAUUUUUGUGUCCUGUGCAGAAAACAAAUAAUUUGGCGCGAAUGUUUCCGUAUUUUCAAUACUCCGCUCGUGCCAACACACUUUUUGAAGUAAAGAAGAUCUCGCUCGUGCCAAAGCAUACAGAAUGAAAUAUGGGUGUGCUAUCUGGGUUGCUUCUCUUUCUUUCCGCUCAUAGAAAGGCCACAACGGGCUCUGGUUCCCUUGCUGCAAUGUCAGUAUCUGAAUCUAAAAAACGAAGGAGGCCUGACAGUGAGCGCCACUGCUGUAUUCUUCUCUCUGGAGAAAGAACACAAUAAUCAUGUAAGUAAAGGAGGUGGUAUUUGCAGUGACUUGGGUAGUGGCAAUGGAAAGUCCAUACCUUUUGUAAUUACGAGUACCAUUGAAUUGGGUCAUGAACAAGAGCAAUCGAUAUGGAUCGUUUGACUUACAACCCGUGCGUCGUUUUCAGAGGUAGGAUCGACAUGUUUCUCCAUUAUUGUACGUGCUAAAUUUAGUGCAGGGUAGAGAUUCCUUCACUGCUCAAGUCGUUAUCCUGAUCGCCACAACUUCAGCCUUCCACCAGCACUUGUCUCAAACUUGCCUCAUUGGGUCGCUGUCCUCUUCUUUAUCACACAGAACUUUUGGCCUUUUAGUACAUGGUAUGUCAGUUUGAUGAUCCUUUUAACUUCCAAUGUUCACAAAUUAAUAACCUUGUUAAACUCCACAAAAAACAUAGGACGGAAAGACAGUGCUUACAUUAAAAGAAGCUUGUUACUCAAAAAGGUAGUCGCAGAUUCAUGAGAUCUGAGGUUCCCUUUUAUUUUAACUGUCCAAGGUGACCUCAUCUAGCCUCAUUUCGGCAAUAGACCUCUCACAGUUGCAGCACAGGUAAACUGUACAUGCUGGAGAUUUUUUGCCGUUUAUCUUUCACCCGUGAAAUGGGGACAUAAAAUGUAUGGCAACUAGCUUGCCUAGUGCUAUUCAACAUUUCUGUACUGAGAUUGGGAAGCAGCAAUCAGGGCAGCCCCUAUCCCCGAGCCAUCAUCCGCGUGCUUGACGACUACGAACUUCGAUGACUCCUCCCCUAGCAGCUCAAUUAGAGUAGCUUCCAAGCAUUUGCUGAACUUGGCGUAGUGUUCGAACAGUCCUCCGUCGAUGGCGAUGACCGACCGACGCUUGUCGACCGAGCCAUCUCUCCCGAGCUUCUUGAGGAUCCCUGCAAGGCCCGCAGCAGCCAGCCGGGCUGCCCUUCUUGUUACAAUGUCGCAGAUCUCAACAAGCAUUUUCCGCGUCUCUAAGGAUGUGCCUGCAAUCUGGAGGGUAUGCAUACCAUCUCACUUCAAUUUAUUUAUUUUCAGAAAGAGGGCAGCACCCUCGCCUCUGCAUCAAGUGAUGCACGCAGCCUUAUUAUGUUAGCAUACCUCUAGGAUUUCUUUCAGUUUUUCUUCCACUAUCUUCAGAUCGGGUGUGUUGUCAUGGUGCAUUGCAGAAAUAUGCGGAGUCCUGCGUACAACAUAAAACCAGAUUUAUCAGCACAUGCCAAGUUUGAAUUUGGGAGUACUCCCUCCGAUCCAAAAUAAGUGUCGCAAUUUUGAACUAACCUUAGUUCAAAACCGCGACACUUAUUUUGGAUCAGAGGGAGUAGCAUUUUGCCAUGGUUAAUAAAUGGUCUGUUUAUUAGAAGAUUAAAGCUGAUGUGCGUCAACAAUAACAUGCACUUAAUCAAAUCCUUGAGGCAUGUAUGCAGCAUUAAGCCAGAUUUUAUCAGCACAUGUCAAGUUCAAAAUUUGGCAGGACUUGCUACAGUUAAUGAGUGGUCUGUUUGAUUAGGAGAUUAAGAACACCAAGCAUUAACAGGGGUAUGCAUUUGAAAGAAAUCCUGAAUUCCAGAUCAUCAACAAGAUAAAAAUUCUUUAUGACUACAUACACAUUAGAGCAUCAACCGCGAAAGGCUAGGGAAACAGCGUACCGGAGAUGGAAAUGAGUUUUGAGCUUAGUGCGGUCAAUUUCACCAAAAAUGGAAGAUUGCAAGGACAGUUUAAGCAACACCCUCCUUACAAUUUCACCUAAAUACAUUCCUGAGGUUAACUUCUCGUAGAUCUGAAAGAACCAAAGUAUACAAUUGAGCCAAUGCUCAACAGCAAGAACAGGCAAACUAUAAAAUAAACUUGCCUGCUCUCCUGGAUUUAAGCUUUCAUUAUCUAAUGAUUGAUCGUAUUCAGUGACUGGAAGAUGGCACGAAUAGAAAUUACCCCAUUCCAUAUUAAUGACCUGGUAUAUGAGAAGACAUCGCACAAAUAACUUAGAAACAACAAAAUAGUUCAGAAGAAUCCAAACAUAUCCUUGAGCACCACUAGGUUUGAAGUGAAAGGUUGUGACCUUUAAACCUCACCAUUUCUCCUGAAUUAGGCAGCUCUCCUUCCCAUUUUGGUAUGGCAUUUGCCUUCUCAACAUAAGCAGCAUUUGUGCCAGUGCCAAAUAUCACACCUGCGACGACAUCUUCAUCGUAGUAUCUGGCUCCAGCCAAUGUCCCAACAGCGUCAUUAAUCUAUUUCAGCAGUAAUCUCUUAGAAUGAGAAUUUUAUUUUGAGGUUACAACUAGAUUAUAUUAGAAACAGUGCAAUAUAAACUUCUCAAACACUUACUAGUGCAGCCACAUGCAUGUCUAGACCUUGCUUCUGCAUAGCUGUUUGCAGUUCAGCAACUACAUCUUUACCUACCUGAUAUGAGUGACAAAGAGAUUAAUUCAAAGGAAUAUCCAUCUAUAAACAGUUAAGUAUUUGAUUUUUGAUGAUAAACAUAGUUUAUUGAUACGAUUCCCAGAAUUCUUCAUCCACUAUGGUUUAGAAUCAAACAACGAUACGUGCUUCAAAGAGCCGUAUUUGGCAACAUUGUUACAUGAUACGAUGUACAAAUAUGCUGGGUAUGUAAGCACAAGGAAUUCUUACAGCAUCUUCUAUAGAAAAUGCCUUUGUCCACUUGACAAGGGUGCCCGAUGCAACGGACCGUUGCCUCACUGGGAAAGAAAAUGUGAAUCCUAGUUCCCGUGUCUUCCCGUUUGACAAGCUAGUACCCUGCUCUUCAUCAGCCACAAACUUGGCUAAUUCAGAAGCAAUGAAACCAAACAAUUCCUGUAAAAUGGAAAAUGAACACAAUCAAAUAAUAAAUCAAAGAAUAACAACAAUUCAAAUCAAAGUUGUCGAAUUAAGCAUAUGAAACCUACAGAUGAGCUCCCUGACAUCAAAUGUGGUGGGAUGGCGAGUUCUCUGGACUCGCGGCUAAUGACAUGCUUAUCAUUGCCACCUAGCUGCACCUUCAAGACACGGAAGUUUGUCCCUCCUAGGUCCAGUCCAUAGAACAAACCUUCCUCUCUCCUAAAUUUAGUAGCACGAAAGUAAGCAGCCAAAUAAUUCUAAUGGUGUUCACGGGUCAAACAUAAAAUUGCCAACUGAAAUCAGCUAUCUUUACCAUUAAAUAUAUUUUUUGGGACGAAAGGCACCGGGUGACCAUCUUUAAAUUAAUAAAGCCAACAAGUGGCAGGAGUCACACACACCAUAUAUUUAUCAAUCAGCUAACCUGAAUCCUGAUAAAAUAACACCGAAAUGGAUGAUAUUAUAUUAUAAUGUUAUGAACAUGAUAAGGAGCCAGUUUUUCUAGUUUCUCAUGACCGAUAUGUCCGACAUCCAUGAGGCCAGUCAAAAUGGAUGAUAAGGAUGCCAUGUUUCUAUUUUCUAGUUCCAAACUGAGAUAUCCCAUCCUAUGCUUAAUUCAUAGGACCAUAGUCUUUAAUGUAAAAUUGUACAUGUACUCCAUCAAACAUCAACUGAUUCAAGUUAAACAACACCUGCUACUUUCUCCACAAUAAGAUGUACUAACACAGAAACUAAAUGUCAGUAGGCUGACAUUUUCACGGAGUAUGAACACAAGAACUGAAAGACCAACGCUUCCUGUGAUUAGACAAACAGACAAGAAGCGAGAGCUGGAGUACAUAGAAACUAACCCGGUGGGGAGCUUGUCAACGUAGGAGAGCAGCAUCUUGACCCUGCUCCCACCCUCCUUCUCCAGUCCCGCGCACAUCUCGUCGGCCAUCGCCGCCGCCACGUCGCGCAGCAGCGACGCGGGCGUGGCGCAGUUCUCCCGGAGGUCCGCCACCACCUGCUGCUCCGCCAUUGCCGACGGCGCUCCCAAUCCCCCGAAGGCAGAUCAAGGGGAAAUGACUGAACUGAAACAGUAUAGCGGGGAGUUUGGAGUCGACGACCGCCCAAGAAAGAAGAUUUGAGAUAGGCGGGGGGCAGGAAUGGGGUGGCGGCACGUGAAAUUCGGCGAGACGAGCAGGGGUGGUGGCGCGACACGUGAAAUUUGGCUGGGAGCGCUCAUCUUUUCGAUCCGCUCGGUGGAGCGGCGGGGAAAGGUUCGCUCUGGCUCGUGUGUUGUCGUUCUGUUCUAGCUCUUCGGGAACCGCGCAGCACAAAUGCGGUUUAUCUGUGGAUCCCAGAAAUAAAAGUUUUCUUUUUAUAUUAAAUGACCCCUCAGAGUUAAAAAAAAAAUGACCCCUCAGAAAACCUAAUCAGCUCACUGACCUCUCGAAUUUAUUUUUUGAGAAACGAAAAAAUUAUUUCAGAAACGUGGCACUGCACACUCGCCGGUUGCCACCGUGGCACCUACAAUCCUACAUGUCCCGCGUGACGAAAAGGCGAGAUUACUUAUGACUAAAAUUUUGAAAAAUUUAUGUUUGAUGACAAUUUUGUCAUACACAUUGUAAUUUUUUGGUAUAUAUAAGGAUCAUUUUUUCAAAUAGAUGAUUACCACCAUUCCCCUUCCAUUUUUUGUGUUUGACAACUACUUUUUUCAUACACACUAUACAUUUUCGGUAUAUGCCAGAAACAUAUUUUCUACACGUUUAAUCAUUUGAAAUAUAUGAUUAACAUUUUUCUGAUAAACGAUCAGCAUUUUUUAAAUUUAUAUUUUUAUGCUCAAUUCGUCUAUGCAUGCUCUCCAUUUUUCUCGUAUACAUCAGGAAUAUUUGCUGUAUAUACAUUUAACAUUUUGUAAAUACACGAUCAGCAUUUUAUCAUACACAUUUUAUCAUAUACAUGAUAAACAUUUUUCUAUGCACAUUCAAAAUUUUAAAAUGAUUGAUUAACAUUUUUAAAUACUUAAUUAUUUUUUAAAAAUGCAUGAUGAUCUUUCUUCAGACACAUUGUAUAUCGUUUUGUAUACACUUUUCAUAUACAUGAGAAACAUUUUCUAUACACACAUUUAAUUUGUUUCAAAUGUUUGGCUAAUAUUUUUUUUAAUGUUUCAUGUAAGUGUUUUUUAAUAUAUAUAUUUAGAAAAUUAGGAAGUAUAAACAGAAUUAAAAAAGAAUGCAAAAAACGAGAAAAAAGGCAGUGGCGUCCCGCGCGCUGCGCCUGCCCAUUUAGGGAGGCGCCUGAAGCGAGCCGACGCUCUGUCUCGCUUCAAGCGAGACAUAGUCGCCCAUGGGCCGUCUGUCGCCCAUUGUUUUGCGCGCCCCCCUCAAAUCCUCCCGGGCCGGGCCGGGCCACCAACGUUCUUUUGCACGGUGGCUUCUUCCUCUCCAAACUCCAGCGGAACCCGCAAAAAUUUCGAAAACGGAAACGCUGGCGCUCCCUCCCGCACGCCGCGCCUCCACCCGAUUUCCAAUUCCAGUUUCCCUCCCGUCUCCCACCCCAUCUCCCCCCCUUUUAAAUUUCGAACGCCUCUCCUCAUCUCACACCUCCCGCACCAUCCACCCGACUAAUACCCCGCAUCUGGCCUGCGCAUUCCGCCGAGCGCAUGGACUGCGGCGGCGACGGCGGGAUGGACGCGCUGCCGGACGGCGUGGUGCAGGCCAUCCUCUCCCGGCUCAGCAGCGCCCGCGACGUGGCCGCCUGCGCGGGCGUCUCCCGCAGCUGGCGCGACUGCGUGCCCUUCCUCCCGUUCCUCUACUUCCCGCGGAGCGCCUUCGACGCCGCGAGGGGCGGCGGCGUCGCGUGCGCCGACGACGCCAUCGGCCGCAUGGUCCACGCCGCGGCGCGCCUCGAGGAGCUCGUCAUCUACUGCCCCUUCUCCGCCGCGCGCCUCCCGCGCUGGCUCGCCGCGCGGAGCGCCUCGCUGCGCGUGCUCGAGCUCCGGGUCGACUCCGCCUGGUCCGGAUCCGGAUCCGGCCACCUCGACUGCGUCGCCGCCGCCCCCAACCUCGAGGAGCUGCGGCUCUGGGGGCUCACCAUGACGCGCGAGCCGGCCUGGGGCCGGCUCGACCGGCUCCGCGUGCUGGAGAUCGUCGGCGCGUCCCUGGCGGACCUCGCCGUCAGCGGCGCCGUCGACGCCUGCCCCAAUCUCACCGACCUCGCCCUGCUCGGCUGCGAGUGCUCCGGCUCCGUCUUCUUGGCGACGCCCCUGCUCCAGCGCUGCCGCCUCGACUUCGUCGGCUCCGGCACCUGCUCGCUCGCGCUCGCCGCGCCCCUUGUCGAGUCCCUCGAGGUCCAGGGUUUCAACUAUAUCACCCUGCACGGCGGCGACCGCCUCAAACGCCUCACAAUUUCCAAGAACACCGGUGCGCACUGGACUGGGGCCCCCUACCCAUGGCCUUCCGCAGUUCUCAUUCGUUUCAUUCUGGUCUAAUGUCAAUUUCCGUUCAAUCUUUCAGGGAGGGUGAAUACUGUCGGGAUAGACAGGCUCCCGGUGUUGGAGCAGCUGUCUCUGCGUGGCGUCCAGUGGAGCUGGGGAGCCGUCAGCCAUGUGCUGCAAUGCGGCGCCGAGGCCAAGCAUCUGGUGAUGAAGGUUGAGUUCUGCGGUGAUUCCGACACUCUCCAGCCGUUUCCCGAGGUCGACCUUGUUGAAUUCUUCAACAGCCACCCGAAGCUCUGCAAGUUUGAGGUCCACGGCGCCAUGUUUGCGUCGCUCUGCCAAAAGAACAGCCUGAAAAAUGUGCGUCAUAUCCUACUGAUUAUCAAUCGCAUCCUUUCACUUCACGCUGGUGUAUGGCAUGGCUAAUUUUUUCCUCUGACAUUGCAGCUGGACUCGAGGUUCCUGAUAUCUUCAUUGGAGGAGGUCCUGAUCACCGUGCGCUCACCCUUGAAUGCCGAGCAGAAGCUGAUCACCAUCGAGUCCCUUGUCAGGUACAGUCCUAUGCUGCGGAGGAUGGUCCUUAGGAUCUCGCAGAUGAAGAACUGCCACGAGGCUGCAGAUGAAUUCUUUGAAGAGGUUUCCAAGUUUGCGCAUAUGAGUAAUGGCAGAGUGCGGAUUGAAUAGGAGGGGUGCUGCUGCAUGGCUCAGUGCUUUGGCUCUUGUGGGUUGCAACUGAACCGAUGAGACUCUUAUUGUGUGCUACUAUUGAGCUCAAUUCUGCUCGAGUAGUUAUGCUGUUUUGUUUGUCAUUGUUCAUGUGUGCUGGAUCUUAUCAGCAUGCUUAGGGUGAUUGUUUUGUCCUCUACUUGUUAAAAUUUUGUACCUCGAAUCUGUAUUGCUCCUUGUUUUAUGAGAGAUAAGAAACUACUUUACUUCAUUGCUCCUGCAACAGAAACUUAUUUUCAACCCUUGUGUAUUUGAUUCCAUCCCAUAUAGCCUUGAUAGAUAUGUCAAAUUGUUGAUGAUCUCAGUGGGAUAUGUGAAAAUUAUGUAUAAUUUUAAUGGGACAUAC
rnacentral:lncRNA from 1 species